CGAACGCUGGCGGCGUGCUUAACACAUGCAAGUCACGGGGGCCCGCAAGGGUAACCGGCGAACGGGUGCGUAACACGUGAGCAAUCUGCCGAUCUCUGGGGGAUAGCCGGCCCAACGGCCGGGUAAUACCGCAUACGAUCACCGAGGGGAGUCCCUUGGUGAUGAAACCUCCGGGGGAGAUCGAGGAGCUCGCGCCCUAUCAGCUAGUUGGUGAGGUAAUGGCUCACCAAGGCUACGACGGGUAGCUGGUCUGAGAGGAUGGCCAGCCACAUUGGGACUGCGACACGGCCCAGACUCCUACGGGAGGCAGCAGUGGGGAAUAUUGCGCAAUGGACGAAAGUCUGACGCAGCGACGCCACGUGUGGGAUGAAGCCUUUCGGGGUGUAAACCACUGUUGCCCGGGACGAAACUCCUUUUUCGAGAGGAUUAAACGAGUACCGGGUGAGGAAGCACCGGCUAACUCUGUGCCAGCAGCCGCGGUAAUACAGAGGGUGCGAGCGUUGUCCGGAAUCACUGGGCGUAAAGGGCGCGUAGGUGGCGGGAUAAGUGUGUGGUGAAAGCUCGGGGCUCAACCCCGAGUCUGCCAUGCAGACUGCCUUGCUCGAGCAUAGUAGAGGCAGGUGGAAUUCCGGGUGUAGCGGUGGAAUGCGUAGAGAUCCGGAAGAACACCGGUGGCGAAGGCGGCCUGCUGGGCUAUUGCUGACACUGAGGCGCGACAGCGUGGGGAGCAAACAGGAUUAGAUACCCUGUGUAGUCCACGCCGUAAACGAUGGGUACUCCAUGUCUGGGGGAGCGACCCCCUGGGUGCCGGCGCUAACGCAUGAAGUACCCCGCCUGGGAAACCCAGCCGCAAGGUAUCUAGAAACUCAAAGGAAUUGACGGGGGCCCGCACAAGCGGUGGAGCAUGUGGUUUAAUUCGACGCAACGCGAAGAACCUUACCUAGGCUUGACAUGCUGGAGAAAGCUCGCAGAAACGUGAGCCCCUCUUCGGAGUUCCAGCACAGAUGCUGCAUGGCUGUCGUCAGCUCGUGUCGUGAGAUGUUGGGUUAAGUCCCGCAACGAGCGCAACCCUCAUCUCCAGUUACCAGCGGGUUAUGCCG
rnacentral:rRNA from 1 species